GGCAUGGUUGUCGUCAGCUCGUGUCGUGAGAUGUUGGGUUAAGUCCCGCAACGAGCGCAACCCUCGACCUUAGUUGCCAGCAUUCAGUUGGGCACUCUAAGGUGACUGCCGGCUAAAAGUCGGAGGAAGGUGGGGAUGACGUCAAAUCAUCAUGCCCCUUAUGACCUGGGCUACACACGUGCUACAAUGGGCGGUACAAAGGGUCGCGAACCCGCGAGGGGGAGCCAAUCCCAAAAAGCCGCUCUCAGUUCGGAUUGCAGGCUGCAACUCGCCUGCAUGAAGCCGGAAUCGCUAGUAAUCGCGGAUCAGCAUGCCGCGGUGAAUACGUUCCCGGGCCUU
rnacentral:rRNA from 1 species